GUCUACACCCAUGCCACCCUGAAUAUGCCCGAUCCCAUCUCAUCUCAGAAGCUAAGCAGGGUUGGUCUGGUUAGUAUUUGGAUGGGAAACCAGGUGCUGUAGGCA
rnacentral:rRNA from 1 species